UACGUAGGGUGCGAGCGUUGUCCGGAAUUACUGGGCGUAAAGAGCUCGUAGGCGGUUUGUCGCGUCUGCUGUGAAAACCUAAGGCUCAACCUUGGGCUUGCAGUGGGUACGGGCAGACUAGAGUGCGGUAGGGGUGACUGGAAUUCCUGGUGUAGCGGUGGAAUGCGCAGAUAUCAGGAGGAACACCGAUGGCGAAGGCAGGUCACUGGGCCGCAACUGACGCUGGAGGAGCGAAAGCAUGGGGAGCGAACAGG
rnacentral:rRNA from 1 species